AACGAACGCUGGCGGCAUGCCUAACACAUGCAAGUCGAACGAGACCUUCGGGUCUAGUGGCGCACGGGUGCGUAACGCGUGGGAACCUGCCCUUAGGUUCGGAAUAACUCCCCGAAAGGGGUGCUAAUACCGGAUAAUGUCGUCAGACCAAAGAUUUAUCGCCUUUGGAUGGGCCCGCGUUGGAUUAGCUAGUUGGUAGGGUAAAAGCCUACCAAGGCGACGAUCCAUAGCUGGUCUGAGAGGAUGAUCAGCCACACUGGGACUGAGACACGGCCCAGACUCCUACGGGAGGCAGCAGUGGGGAAUAUUGGACAAUGGGCGAAAGCCUGAUCCAGCAAUGCCGCGUGAGUGAUGAAGGCCUUAGGGUUGUAAAGCUCUUUUACCAGGGAUGAUAAUGACAGUACCGGGAAAAUAAGCUCCGGCUAACUCCGUG
rnacentral:rRNA from 1 species